AAACAGAUAGCUCUAUCUUAUCUUUCAACUUUCUACCGUCAGAUCAGUUAGUCGUGUGAAUGUUCUACUUCGGAUAACAAAAGCAAGUGGUAGGGUUUUCACAUGUUCCCCAUGAACAUGAGAUUCUAACUGUUGCAUUCUCCUAACAGGGGAAGAUCUAUUAGCUAUUGCAGCAGAUCAACCCUUUCGAUUUCCCGCUACAUUCACAUUUGUUGUUAGAGCAUUUUCAGUUUUGGAUGGCAUUGGAAAGGGCCUUGACCCUCGAUUUGAUAUUACUGAGAUUGCCAAACCCUAUGCGAUGGAGUUGUUAAAGGUUUAAGGAAGCUGGGUUUGAAGUUAUCCUGAAGGCAAACUCAGAACUCUCUUGACUUAUUAACAAGGAUAGCUUUCAGCCCCCAACGAGGAGUUACAUUUGUAAUUUGUAACAAUUCUGUGGUAGAUGUCGGCAUUGUAGUCACCUUUAACGGGAUGAAUGUCUACUAAUGGUGUAUAAUUUUGUAAUAUAAGAAAAAAUUGUUCAUUAAAAUGUGCUUCUUUUUUAAUGUUUCUGCUUUGAUUUUAUAAAAACGUUAUGGUAUCGGUGUAUCACAUCACUUAUUUUUGUGUCUAUCUUAAUUGUUAGAUCUUAGAGGCAGU